rnacentral:rRNA from 1 species
CGAAGGGUGCAAGCGUUAAUCGGAAUUACUGGGCGUAAAGCGCGCGUAGGUGGCUUGAUAAGUUGGAUGUGAAAUCCCCGGGCUCAACCUGGGAACUGCAUCCAAAACUGUCUGGCUAGAGUGCGGUAGAGGGUAGUGGAAUUUCCAGUGUAGCGGUGAAAUGCGUAGAUAUUGGAAGGAACACCAGUGGCGAAGGCGACUACCUGGACUGACACUGACACUGAGGUGCGAAAGCGUGGGAGCAAACAGGAUU